rnacentral:rRNA from 1 species
CCCUUAGACGUUCUGGGCCGCACGCGCGCUACACUGACGAAGGCAACGAGCUUUCCUUUACCGAAAGGUACGGGUAAUCUUUUGAAACUUCGUCGUGCUGGGGAUAGAUCCUUGCAAUUUUUGAUCUUAAACGAGGAAUGCCUAGUAAGCGCAAGUCAUCAACUUGCGUUGAUUACGUCCCUGCCCUUUGUACACACCGCCCGUCGCUACUACCGAUUGAAUGGUUUAGUGAGGCCUUCGGAUCCGCGACUCGUUUGUGGAGAAGUUGGACAAACUCAGUCAUUUAGAGGAAGCAAAAGUCGUAACA